rnacentral:tRNA from 1 species
GGGCCGGUCGUCUAGCGGGAGGAUGUCGCCUUCGCACGGCGGAGGUCCCGGGUUCGAAUCCCGGCCGGUCCA